AUUGAACGCUGGUGGCAGGCUUAACACAUGCAAGUCGAGCGGAGAUGAGGUGCUUGCACCUUAUCUUAGCGGCGGACGGGUGAGUAAUGCUUAGGAAUCUGCCUAUUAGUGGGGGACAACAUUCCGAAAGGUAUGCUAAUACCGCAUACGUCCUACGAGAGAAAGCAGGGGAUCUUCGGACCUUGCGCUAAUAGAUGAGCCUAAGUCGGAUUAGCUAGUUGGUGGGGUAAAGGCCUACCAAGGCGACGAUCUGUAGCGGGUCUGAGAGGAUGAUCCGCCACACUGGGACUGAGACACGGCCCAGACUCCUACGGGAGGCAGCAGUGGGGAGUAUUGGACAAUGGGGGGAACCCUGAUCCAGCCAUGCCGCGUGUGUGAAGAAGGCCUUAUGGUUGUAAAGCACUUUAAGCGAGGAGGAGGCUACUGAGACUAAUACUCUUGGAUAGUGGACGUUACUCGCAGAAUAAGCACCGGCUAACUCUGUGCCAGCAGCCGCAGUAAAAC
rnacentral:rRNA from 1 species